AAUGCUGCUAUGUAGACUGGCAGUAGAUGUCCCUCACUACCACGAUGAGCUGUAUUUCACACAGUGAGACGCAUUUGAUUGAUAUUCCCCCAGUUGUUACAUAAUUGUGCAACUCAUAAGCGCCUAACAAUCAGUUGAUCCGAGAGGGGAAUGGCUGGGGCAAAACCGAUAUAACUAUCUUCUGUUCGCGCUUCAUGUGGGUGUGAGUACACCGUAGCUUCUUGAUGAACAUCUUUUCCGCAUUCAAAAGCAAGCCCUCAAGAGCGCACGGGGACCCAGAGAACAUUUCGCUCGCAGUGGAAUUACAGUUUAACUGCAGUGGACAAGAGAAGAAUUCUUCCACAACGAAGUCGUCUCUAGAAUACGUUCAUUCUAUAUUUCGAGACUACCGGUAUACGUUUUCCUACAAACAGACCUCUGACUGUGACAGCUCCAGUGGGUGGAGCUACAUUGGGCCCCUCUCUCUACCCACUCAGCACUGAUGGGACAGAAUCCUGAAUCCUUGACGACCCCUCUUUCCUUCUCCGCCCUCCCAGGCUCCACCCUCUUUCUCCUCCUCUCCUCUUUCCUUAGACUCUCCUCCUCCCCCGGUCUCUUCUCUCAGCGCUGGGAUCAUUACUCAACCCCACUGAAGGACCACAGUAGCUGGCAAGGAUGAACUGGGUCUGCCUGCCAAUGCAGAAAGGGAGAUAAGAGGGAGAAAGAGAGGGAGAAAGAAAGAAAAGCGAGUGAGAGAAAGUUCAAAACCUGUGAGUGAAAGAAGAGAGGAACAUAUUAAAAAUGCCCAUAAGGGAUAACAUCGACAACUGCACUUUAGUAUGAGCUAGAGAUCCUCAGCAAACCUGCCCACCUGGAUGUGUGGAUCUGUAGACACACACACACACGUCUGUCUCAGUCACAGCAGAAGACGGCUCCUACCCUGCCCUACACUGUGGGGUGGUGUUUUCAGCGUUAUUCCCUGCCUACCAUACCUGUGUGAGGAGUGGUGGAGAGGAAAUUCAGAAACUCUUAGAGGACAGUGGAAGCUGACAAAAAUGCUUCUAUGUUAAAACCAGCAGCCCGUAACCUUUUAUCAGGGUUUUAGUAGUGAACAGGUCAGCACCACCAUGCCGGCUAAAGGGAAGUACCUGUUAAAUGACCAGGAGCUGAAACAUGAGGCCCUGUACAGGAAGUUCUCCUGUAUCAGCCAGUACCAGACUCUGGUGCUGCUACUAGGCCUCUCCAUGCUGUUCUGUGGAGUCCUCCUCAUCCUCUUCUUCGCCCUGCACCUGAGUGCGGAGGAGCACUGUGCAUUUGUCAGCGUGGUGAGUUGCAGCCUGUGUGUGUUCCUGGCUGUGUUUGUGCUGGUGUGUACAGAGACCCUGACCCAGCGCUGGAGGAGACUGUUGGGUCUGGUGGUCUGGGCCACUCACCUCACCAUGGGAUUCACCUUCAUCUUCAGCGGACCCCUCAUCCUGCCCUGGGACCAGGUUCCCUUCUUCCUGUUCAUCAUCUUCACAGUGUACACCAUGCUGCCUUUCCAGAUGUGCUAUGCUGUGGUGCUCAGUGUGAUCUCCUCACUCUCUCACAUCAUGGUCCUCACUCUACGCCUCACUGUCUUCAACACCCAAGAUCCCAGCCCCUUUCUUGCCAAUCAGCUGCUGUCCAAUGCGGUGGUGUUUCUGUGUGGCAGUGUGGUGGGGGCCUUCCAUAAGGUCCUGAUGGAGAGAGCACUAAGACAGACCUUCCAGGAUACACUCAGAUGUCUGGGCAUCCGCAUGAAGCUGGAGAUAGAAAAGAGACAACAGGAGAACCUGCUGCAGUCUGUGCUGCCUGUCUACAUCUCCAUGAAGAUGAAGCUGGCCAUCAUGGAGCGUCUGCAAGACUGCAAGGACAAAGAAGAGCAGCAACGACUCGUCAAAGACAACAACUUCCACAGUCUCUACGUCAAGAGACACGAGAACGUCAGUAUUCUGUAUGCUGACAUUGUGGGCUUCACCCGAUUGGCCAGCGACUGCUCUCCGAAGGAGCUGGUCAUCAUGCUCAACGAGCUGUUUGGGAAGUUUGACCAGAUUGCAAAGGAGAACGAGUGCAUGAGAAUCAAGAUUUUGGGAGACUGCUACUACUGUGUGUCUGGCCUGCCUGUCUCCCUGCCCAUGCAUGCCAAGAACUGUGUGAAGAUGGGUCUGGACAUGUGUGAGGCCAUCAAACGAGUGCGCGAGGCCACAGGUGUGGACAUCAACAUGAGAGUGGGCGUGCACUCCGGCAACGUGCUCUGCGGUGUGAUUGGCCUCCGCAAGUGGCAGUUUGACGUUUGGUCACAUGACGUCACCCUGGCCAAUUAUAUGGAGUCUGGAGGCUUACCUGGGCGUGUCCACAUCACUGACGCCACCCUGAAGCACCUGAACAAGGCCUAUGAGGUGGAGGAGGGGAACGGUGGGCUAAGAGAUGCCUACCUGAAGGAGCUCAACAUACAGACAUACCUUGUCAUCGAUCCUCGGUCUAAGAACCAGGCUCUGAACAGCCACAGCAUGCCCAAGCCGCGUGUGAAUGACGGGCUGAAGAUGCGGGCGUCAGUGAGAAUGACCCGUUACCUGGAGUCCUGGGGCGCCGUCAAACCCUUCGCCCACCUACAGAGCAGAGAGGGGUACACCCAAGACACCGUGGUCAAUGGAAAAUCACGCUGCAAGGACAUCCCUCUGCGCACAACUCACUCGAAGAUCACUGAGAGCUUUGAUGAGUCUGUAGAGGAGCCCUUCUCCUCACCCGCCCCUCUGCUCAGCACCUAUAAGAACAAGUCCCAGAAGAGCAAGUUUGAUGAGGAGCUGCACAAUGAGAUGACCACCACCAUCGAUGAGCUCAGCAGCAAGCAGUGGGUGAAGUCUGAGGAGACUAGCAGUCUGGCUGUGUGGUUCCCUAAGAAAGAGCUGGAGAAACAGUACCGAGCCAUUGAUCUGCCCAUGUUCAAGCACUACAUUGGCUGUGCCACCUUCAUCUUCUUCUGCAUCUUUGUGGUUCAGAUGUUUGUGACAAAAGAUUCCAAAAUGUUGGGAAUGUCGUUUGGAGUGCUGGCCUGUGUCCUCCUGUUGACCCUGGGCAUCUGUUUCGCAGGUCACCUGCAGCGCUUGUUUCCGGAGAAGUUGUCGUCCUGCCAGUGGCUGCCUGCUGUGUCCGAUGCAGUGGUCAAGAGGCCGUGUGUGCGCCUCCCUCUGGUCACUAUCACCACUGCGGUCAUCAUCAUCCUAGCAGUCUUCAACCUGUGCUUCAUCCAGAUAAAGUCACCGUGUGAUAUCAAUGGUAACCCUGAUCUGAUUCCAUCUGACAACUCCAGUGAGCAGCAUCCAGACAGCCUGUUCUACCUGCCGUACUCUGUGUUCAGCUGUAUCCUGGCUCUCAUAGCUUGUGGAGUGUUCCUGAGGGGGAGCUUUGAGCUUAAUGUGGUCUUCCUCACCCUGGCCUCCACAGCCUACUACAUCAUCAUCCUCAGCGCCAAGGCUGGUCUCUUCAGCUGCUAUGGACAAAUGCUUUACAACCAACUCAAUGAAAACAGAACUGAGGACUCUGGGACCAUCCUAAGAGCAUUGGGGCUGGUCAAACACCCUGAGGUGAUGAGCUGCAUAUACAUCACCUUGUUCCUGGUCACCAUGCUCAUCAUCUCACAACAGAAUGAGUCAUGCUUCCGUCAGGACUUCCUUCUGAAGAACAAGAACCGUACGGAGCAGGAUGAGAUUGAGACCAGGGAGAACCUGAACCGCCUGCUCCUGGAGAACGUGCUGCCGGCCCAUGUGGCUGCGCUGUUUGUUGGGGAGAAUAAAAAGAACGAGGAUCUGUACUACAAGUCAUAUGACUGUGUGUGUGUGAACCUGAAACCUCCCUGUAUCUCUGUUGUGAAGUGUAUGUCUAUGUUCUUCUGCUUAGUGUUACUACAUGGCAUUGCCUCUUAAGUUGUACACCUCCUUCCUCCUCAGGAUCUGUACUACAAGUCAUAUGACUGUGUGUGCGUGAUGUUCGCCUCGGUACCGGACUUCAAAGAGUUCUACACGGAAUGUGACAUCAACAAGGAAGGUCUGGAGUGUCUGAGGCUCCUCAAUGAGAUCAUAGCAGACUUUGAUGAGCUGCUGUCCAAGCCCAAGUUCAGUGGAGUUGAGAAGAUCAAGACCAUCGGAAGCACUUAUAUGGCAGCCGCAGGGCUGAGUGGCACCCCAGGACAGGAGAAUAACCAGGACCGAGAUAGGCAGCAGGCACAGAUGGGGAACAUGGUCGAGUUUGCCAUUGCCCUCAUUGGCAAGCUGGAUGGCAUCAACAGACACUCCUUCAACAGUUUUAGACUGCGUGUGGGCAUUAACCAUGGGCCUGUUAUUGCUGGGGUGAUUGGAGCCAGAAAACCUCAGUAUGACAUCUGGGGCAACACCGUAAACGUGGCCAGUAGGAUGGAGAGCACUGGAGAGCUGGGCAAGAUUCAGGUCACAGAGGAGACGUCGGACGUGCUCCAGAAGCUGGGCUACCCCUGCGAGUGCCGAGGCCUCAUCAACGUCAAGGGAAAAGGCGAGCUAACAACCUUCUUUGUGUGUACGGACAUGAGCAAGCAGCAGGGAUUGGGCCUGAGCUGAGGUCUACGGUGAGCACACUACUGUGUGUGGACUCUGGGCCUGGUUGCUUAUACGUGUGCUGGGUCGGUUACAGGACACAGUCUAGUAUUCAGCACAGACUAAUUACAUGAACGCACAUAAGUUAACAUGCUUAGACUAAACCUACCGGAGCACACAAAUAUAAUCCAUCCCAGUGCUUCAGUCAGCGAUGAUCCUGACCGGACCAGAUCAAGACUUGAAGACGUGGUUCUAGAGGUUAUAUUUUGGAUUAUUCGUGUUUCCAGGAAUCCCUUUGGGAGAUUCUUCAUUGGAAAUAAAUGCUUAGUGCUGCUGAUUUUUUUUUUUUUUUUUUGAGAUCCAGUUGUUAAUGUAUGCAUUCAAUUAGACUGACAUGGAGGUUACGUCAAGCACUGGUUGUCGUCAUACUGGAUUCUAUCACCUAAUACUCCUAGAACCUUACUGGAAUCAUGAGAUACAUCUUCAGUCUGCUCAAAACUGAGCAGUUUAUCAAGCAAAUGGUGACUAAAACAAUGGAGUGAGUGCUGCUGCAUGUGGAGUGUACAGUACAUACUCGCUGCCAUGGUUUUCUAGACCUUAAAAAAAGGUAGACUAAGCAAAAUUACAUUUUCAUGAGCUGCAAGACUUGUGCACAGGUUCCCUUCACACUGUUAUUGCAUGGUAGCAACAGAACCAAAACAGCGGAGAAGUUUAAACUUGCGCUUUAACGCGCGGUUGUGGAAAUUGACCCACUAUGCUGUUUACUUUGGGAAUCUACGUCCUAUCGCUGAGGCUACCUUUAACAGUUUGUUUAGUGAACAGUCACCCUCUAAUCAUUUCUUAUUUUUCUGUUUGGUUUGUACCACCAUGGGACUAAAUGUAAAUAUCGAAGCCAAAUAUCCUGCCUACUGAAACAGCUGAGACCGAUGGACAGUUUAUAUGGUAUGAUGUCUUUGAAAAAUAAAUGACGAAUAAGUGCUAUGCACAGUAAAACA